rnacentral:lncRNA from 1 species
CAAUUUUAGUCUUUCUAAACUAAAAUAGAUUUUGAAGUGGGUGGCGGCUAUAGGCCUGGGGAGGCCAGAGUCCAUGGUGGGAAGUCUGGGGGUUUGGUGGCGUGCUUGGGUUUCGUGCUCCUUGCGAUUGUUGGCGUCAGGUAGAACAGCGUGGUCAGCGAUGUUUUCCGUAGUUGUUUCGCCUGCGCUUAGGUUGGCAGUGACUAGCGAACAUGUGUUUGGUUUUUUAGGGGCUCGUUCACUCUCGUCGAACGGACAUGGCGAACUCGUCACUGCCUGUCCACCGAAUUAUCUACGCUUAGCGACCAAAGGAUUGGUGUCACAAUAAAAGGUUGCUGCGGCUGGGUUGCCAGGUCGGCAUAUCGCGCGCGAUCGCGCUGGGUGGAGAUCCGGGACCAGUCGCUCGUUGUCUGUGCCAGGGAUCAGUAUGGGGGUGGUAUGGCCCAUGCCAGGGGUUGGGCCCAUGCCAGCGGGCUGGGAGGCUGGGAGGCUGGGCUCCAGCUCGGCCCCGCCGCAGCCCCGCUGUCUUUAGGGGGACGGGGAACCCCCCGAAGCCGCCGCGAGGAGACGCGUUGAAGGGUGAGCAAGCCGUUGCAGGGUUUGGGCAGGGGAGCAAGGCCAGGUCGGGAAUGGGCCGCUUAGUUUCCUCCUUUUCCGGCGGCCUCCGGGUGACCAAGGCCCCCGGUCGGCACUGCCGGGUGACCAGAAGUGAGCCCCAACGGCCUGCGGGUGAGAAGGCUACCGGCAGCACACCCGGUAUACAAACAUGUGCCCCAGUAGCGGUGGGCGACCUCGCCCCGGCAGCACACCCGGUAUACAAACAUGUGCCCCAGUAGCGGUGGGUGACCUCGCCCCGGCAGCACACCCGGUAUACAAACAUGUGCCCCAGUAGCGGUGGGUGACCUCGCCCCCGGCAGCACACCCGGUAUACAAACAUGUGCCCCGGUGGCGGCGGGUGACAAACGCCCCGGCUGCAGAGAGCCGGCUCGCUAACACCCUUGCCAAGGUGCUGCCACCGACAGGGAUGUGAGGGCGGCGCGAGUCUAUGCGUCGGCGGGCAUAGGCAAAUGCGGAUCCGGGUGGGGGAAGGUCUCUGCCCGGCGGCAGGCGCAGCGGCGCACUACGCUGGCGCCAUCGUCAUACGCAGAAGCGCAGCAGCAGGUGUCGGCCGGGCUAAACGGGGAUUUCCAGGAGCGAGGGGGGGUGGCGCUGGCCGCCAUGCGCGCGCUCAGCCGCGAUGCGUGCCUACUUCAAGAUCUCAGUACGGUGGAAGCAGCAGGGGGUGACUCGCAUGUGAGGAUCGGGUUGGGGGGUAGGUUUCUGCGCGGCAGCGGUAGGCGAGGCGGCUGCCGGGCAGACACGCAGCAGCAGCCCAAGCGGGGGCUGCCAGGUGGCCAAGGCGCGCACGGCGCAGCGGCGCUGAGCAGGCCAACACUCCCCCAAUCGUUAUUUGCCUGCUCCCGGGCUGGCACGCACGUGUAUGCUUUGGGCCUAGACAUUAGAGGCUGAACGGCUGGAGAAAUGAGCGGCCGUACUUAGGUGGCUAGUUGCGGUAGAAUGGUUGGGCAGGGCUAUGAGUGUAAUGGUGAGGCGGGUGUCUGUGUGCCGGCGUCUGUGCCCUGGCAUCCAGCAGACGUAAGACGCCAGCCCAUCUCAAAGGACAAUUUUAGUCUUUCUAAACUAAAAUAGAUUUUGAAGUGGGUGGCGGCUAUAGGCCUGGGGAGGCCAGAGUCCAUGGUGGGAAGUCUGGGGGUUUGGUGGCGUGCUUGGGUUUCGUGCUCCUUGCGAUUGUUGGCGUCAGGUAGAACAGCGUGGUCAGCGAUGUUUUCCGUAGUUGUUUCGCCUGCGCUUAGGUUGGCAGUGACUAGCGAACAUGUGUUUGGUUUUUUAGGGGCUCGUUCACCUCGUCGAACGGACAUGGCGAACUCGUCACUGCCUGUCCACCGAAUUAUCUACGCUUAGCGACCAAAGGAUUGGUGUCACAAUAAAAGGUUGCUGCGGCUGGGUUGCCAGGUCGGCAUAUCGCGCGCGAUCGCGCUGGGUGGAGAUCCGGGACCAGUCGCUCGUUGUCUGUGCCAGGGAUCAGUAUGGGGGUGGUAUGGCCCAUGCCAGGGGUUGGGCCCAUGCCAGCGGGCUGGGAGGCUGGGAGGCUGGGCUCCAGCUCGGCCCCGCCGCAGCCCCGCUGUCUUUAGGGGGACGGGGGACCCCCCGAAGCCGCCGCGAGGAGACGCGUUGAAGGGUGAGCAAGCCGUUGCAGGGUUUGGGCAGGGGAGCAAGGCCAGGUCGGGAAUGGGCCGCUUAGUUUCCUCCUUUUCCGGCGGCCUCCGGGUGACCAAGGCCCCCAGUCGGCACUGCCGGGUGACCAGAAGUGAGCCCCAACGGCCUGCGGGUGAGAAGGCUACCGGCAGCACACCCGGUAUACAAACAUGUGCCCCAGUAGCGGUGGGCGACCUCGCCCCGGCAGCACACCCGGUAUACAAACAUGUGCCCCAGUAGCGGUGGGUGACCUCGCCCCGGCAGCACACCCGGUAUACAAACAUGUGCCCCAGUAGCGGUGGGUGACCUCGCCCCCGGCAGCACACCCGGUAUACAAACAUGUGCCCCGGUGGCGGCGGGUGACAAACGCCCCGGCUGCAGAGAGCCGGCUCGCUAACACCCUUGCCAAGGUGCUGCCACCGACAGGGAUGUGAGGGCGGCGCGAGUCUAUGCGUCGGCGGGCAUAGGCAAAUGCGGAUCCGGGUGGGGGAAGGUCUCUGCCCGGCGGCAGGCGCAGCGGCGCACUACGCUGGCGCCAUCGUCAUACGCAGAAGCGCAGCAGCAGGUGUCGGCCGGGCUAAACGGGGAUUUCCAGGAGCGAGGGGGGGUGGCGCUGGCCGCCAUGCGCGCGCUCAGCCGCGAUGCGUGCCUACUUCAAGAUCUCAGUACGGUGGAAGCAGCAGGGGGUGACUCGCAUGUGAGGAUCGGGUUGGGGGGUAGGUAUCUGCGCGGCAGCGGUAGGCGAGGCGGCUGCCGGGCAGACACGCAGCAGCAGCCCAAGCGGGGGCUGCCAGGUGGCCAAGGCGCGCACGGCGCAGCGGCGCUGAGCAGGCCAACACUCCCCCAAUCGUUAUUUGCCUGCUCCCGGGCUGGCACGCACGUGUAUGCUUUGGGCCUAGACAUUAGAGGCUGAACGGCUGGAGAAAUGAGCGGCCGUACUUAGGUGGCUAGUUGCGGUAGAAUGGUUGGGCAGGGCUAUGAGUGUAAUGGUGAGGCGGGUGUCUGUGUGCCGGCGUCUGUGCCCUGGCAUCCAGCAGACGUAAGACGCCAGCCCAUCUCAAAGGACAAUUUUAGUCUUUCUAAACUAAAAUAGAUUUUGAAGUGGGUGGCGGCUAUAGGCCUGGGGAGGCCAGAGUCCAUGGUGGGAAGUCUGGGGGUUUGGUGGCGUGCUUGGGUUUCGUGCUCCUUGCGAUUGUUGGCGUCAGGUAGAACAGCGUGGUCAGCGAUGUUUUCCGUAGUUGUUUCGCCUGCGCUUAGGUUGGCAGUGACUAGCGAACAUGUGUUUGGUUUUUUAGGGGCUCGUUCACCUCGUCGAACGGACAUGGCGAACUCGUCACUGCCUGUCCACCGAAUUAUCUACGCUUAGCGACCAAAGGAUUGGUGUCACAAUAAAAGGUUGCUGCGGCUGGGUUGCCAGGUCGGCAUAUCGCGCGCGAUCGCGCUGGGUGGAGAUCCGGGACCAGUCGCUCGUUGUCUGUGCCAGGGAUCAGUAUGGGGGUGGUAUGGCCCAUGCCAGGGGUUGGGCCCAUGCCAGCGGGCUGGGAGGCUGGGAGGCUGGGCUCCAGCUCGGCCCCGCCGCAGCCCCGCUGUCUUUAGGGGGACGGGGAACCCCCCGAAGCCGCCGCGAGGAGACGCGUUGAAGGGUGAGCAAGCCGUUGCAGGGUUUGGGCAGGGGAGCAAGGCCAGGUCGGGAAUGGGCCGCUUAGUUUCCUCCUUUUCCGGCGGCCUCCGGGUGACCAAGGCCCCCGGUCGGCACUGCCGGGUGACCAGAAGUGAGCCCCAACGGCCUGCGGGUGAGAAGGCUACCGGCAGCACACCCGGUAUACAAACAUGUGCCCCAGUAGCGGUGGGCGACCUCGCCCCGGCAGCACACCCGGUAUACAAACAUGUGCCCCAGUAGCGGUGGGUGACCUCGCCCCGGCAGCACACCCGGUAUACAAACAUGUGCCCCAGUAGCGGUGGGUGACCUCGCCCCCGGCAGCACACCCGGUAUACAAACAUGUGCCCCGGUGGCGGCGGGUGACAAACGCCCCGGCUGCAGAGAGCCGGCUCGCUAACACCCUUGCCAAGGUGCUGCCACCGACAGGGAUGUGAGGGCGGCGCGAGUCUAUGCGUCGGCGGGCAUAGGCAAAUGCGGAUCCGGGUGGGGGAAGGUCUCUGCCCGGCGGCAGGCGCAGCGGCGCACUACGCUGGCGCCAUCGUCAUACGCAGAAGCGCAGCAGCAGGUGUCGGCCGGGCUAAACGGGGAUUUCCAGGAGCGAGGGGGGGUGGCGCUGGCCGCCAUGCGCGCGCUCAGCCGCGAUGCGUGCCUACUUCAAGAUCUCAGUACGGUGGAAGCAGCAGGGGGUGACUCGCAUGUGAGGAUCGGGUUGGGGGGUAGGUUUCUGCGCGGCAGCGGUAGGCGAGGCGGCUGCCGGGCAGACACGCAGCAGCAGCCCAAGCGGGGGCUGCCAGGUGGCCAAGGCGCGCACGGCGCAGCGGCGCUGAGCAGGCCAACACUCCCCCAAUCGUUAUUUGCCUGCUCCCGGGCUGGCACGCACGUGUAUGCUUUGGGCCUAGACAUUAGAGGCUGAACGGCUGGAGAAAUGAGCGGCCGUACUUAGGUGGCUAGUUGCGGUAGAAUGGUUGGGCAGGGCUAUGAGUGUAAUGGUGAGGCGGGUGUCUGUGUGCCGGCGUCUGUGCCCUGGCAUCCAGCAGACGUAAGACGCCAGCCCAUCUCAAAGGACAAUUUUAGUCUUUCUAAACUAAAAUAGAUUUUGAAGUGGGUGGCGGCUAUAGGCCUGGGGAGGCCAGAGUCCAUGGUGGGAAGUCUGGGGGUUUGGUGGCGUGCUUGGGUUUCGUGCUCCUUGCGAUUGUUGGCGUCAGGUAGAACAGCGUGGUCAGCGAUGUUUUCCGUAGUUGUUUCGCCUGCGCUUAGGUUGGCAGUGACUAGCGAACAUGUGUUUGGUUUUUUAGGGGCUCGUUCACCUCGUCGAACGGACAUGGCGAACUCGUCACUGCCUGUCCACCGAAUUAUCUACGCUUAGCGACCAAAGGAUUGGUGUCACAAUAAAAGGUUGCUGCGGCUGGGUUGCCAGGUCGGCAUAUCGCGCGCGAUCGCGCUGGGUGGAGAUCCGGGACCAGUCGCUCGUUGUCUGUGCCAGGGAUCAGUAUGGGGGUGGUAUGGCCCAUGCCAGGGGUUGGGCCCAUGCCAGCGGGCUGGGAGGCUGGGAGGCUGGGCUCCAGCUCGGCCCCGCCGCAGCCCCGCUGUCUUUAGGGGGACGGGGAACCCCCCGAAGCCGCCGCGAGGAGACGCGUUGAAGGGUGAGCAAGCCGUUGCAGGGUUUGGGCAGGGGAGCAAGGCCGAAACUCGGGAGUAAUUCCGGCAAAACUCGGGAGUCCACUGUCUCGCGCCCAUAAGUCGGUCGACCUUUGCGCACCCCUGCAUAUGUAAUGCUCCUGUUUUCUGUGCUCUAUUCAAUGCACCAAAAGCCAGCCCAGGAGCUGCAUGCUGGAGCCCANNNNNNNNNNNNNNNNNNNNNNNNNNNNNNNNNNNNNNNNNNNNNNNNNNNNNNNNNNNNNNNNNNNNNNNNNNNNNNNNNNNNNNNNNNNNNNNNNNNNGAGGCGGCUGCCGGGCAGACACGCAGCAGCAGCCCAAGCGGGGGCUGCCAGGUGGCCAAGGCGCGCACGGCGCAGCGGCGCUGAGCAGGCCAACACUCCCCCAAUCGUUAUUUGCCUGCUCCCGGGCUGGCACGCACGUGUAUGCUUUGGGCCUAGACAUUAGAGGCUGAACGGCUGGAGAAAUGAGCGGCCGUACUUAGGUGGCUAGUUGCGGUAGAAUGGUUGGGCAGGGCUAUGAGUGUAAUGGUGAGGCGGGUGUCUGUGUGCCGGCGUCUGUGCCCUGGCAUCCAGCAGACGUAAGACGCCAGCCCAUCUCAAAGGACAAUUUUAGUCUUUCUAAACUAAAAUAGAUUUUGAAGUGGGUGGCGGCUAUAGGCCUGGGGAGGCCAGAGUCCAUGGUGGGAAGUCUGGGGGUUUGGUGGCGUGCUUGGGUUUCGUGCUCCUUGCGAUUGUUGGCGUCAGGUAGAACAGCGUGGUCAGCGAUGUUUUCCGUAGUUGUUUCGCCUGCGCUUAGGUUGGCAGUGACUAGCGAACAUGUGUUUGGUUUUUUUUUUCCCGCCCGCCCGCCCCUUCUGCUAUGUGGUUUGCGGUUGCUUUGUGCUUCGCUUUUCGUUUGCUGUUGACGUUUCUUGCGUGCUGGUUGCUGGGGGGUAGGUUUCUGCGCGGCAGCGGUAGGCGAGGCGGCUGCCGGGCAGACACGCAGCAGCAGCCCAAGCGGGGGCUGCCAGGUGGCCAAGGCGCGCACGGCGCAGCGGCGCUGAGCAGGCCAACACUCCCCCAAUCGUUAUUUGCCUGCUCCCGGGCUGGCACGCACGUGUAUGCUUUGGGCCUAGACAUUAGAGGCUGAACGGCUGGAGAAAUGAGCGGCCGUACUUAGGUGGCUAGUUGCGGUAGAAUGGUUGGGCAGGGCUAUGAGUGUAAUGGUGAGGCGGGUGUCUGUGUGCCGGCGUCUGUGCCCUGGCAUCCAGCAGACGUAAGACGCCAGCCCAUCUCAAAACGCUAGCUCCAGGAAGAGUGAAGGUCAAGGCUGAAAUGGCUUUGGCUCGUAGGAGUGCCAGAAGAUAAUGCUGGCUUGGCCCAAAAUCGGUCGGCCACUCGGCCCAAUCCUUGCUCACAGCACCGCGCAUGCGCCAUGCAUCCGUCUGUUGCGCCAUCUAUCAAUUUGAAGUCUUGCAACCGUAGUUUUGUUGGCAGCAGCACAUACCGAAAGCAGAAUAAACACCACUCGGCGAAUUCAUCCGUCAGCCCCUUGCAUUCGCAUUACCCCGCCCAGCCGCCCCUGUACGGCACGGCACUUGUUACCGCACGGCGGGCGGCUGGUGCUUCACAUGCACCACGUGCGGUUGCUGCCCCGCCCCCUGCCCCUGCCCCUGCCCCUGCCCCGCCUGCCCCGUCGCGCCGGCUCCCGCCGCCGCCUGCUGCUGCGCCUGCUGUGCCGCCGCCGCCGCCUGCUGCGCCUGCUGCGCCUGCUGUGCCGAGCUGCUGAUCAUGGCAGCCACCAGAUCGCUGUACGCCACGGCGGCGUGUGUACGGCUGUACGGCUGACCCAUCAGCCCGUACUUCUCGUACGCGGGCCGAACGAUGUCCAGCCUGUGAGCGUUUGAGAGAAUGAGAGAUUUUGGGGUAUUGUUGGGAAUGCUGCCAGGUUCUCAACGCCUUGCAAGUGCCAUACAAGACGGCACAUGCCCCGUGCAAGCAACUCGUGUCAACGGCGCUAGAACAGCAGUGCGCAGAGCCGAAGCCGCGUGCCGGCACAGCCCCGCCUAAGCCGCACGACUUCGCCGUCGGCUACCCACGCCACACGUUCUGGGUUUCAUUUGGCUACCGGUCUCGGCGGCGACCAGUCCC